GACUUCAACAAAAAGUAAAAUGGAUUUUAUCAUACUUGAAAAAUCAACAAUUGCAGUCUGGAUUCAUACAUCACUGUCUGAUGCACCCAACUUGAGUCAAAAAGAUGUUUCAAAUCCCACUAGGCUGGAGGUAAGAUAGCUUCUCAGCUUUCAGCUUUACUUCACGGUUUUAACUAUCAAAAGAAGCAAGGCAUCUGAAGAUUUGCCUGAGACUGAAGGAUCCACUUCUGCGACGACUCCCUCAGGACUUAUAAUGCAGAUGGAACCAGAUUGAGAAAAACCAGCCAACCAACCAACCAACAUGAUGGCUGAACCAGACAAGAGAAGUCCCGAAGUAAAAUACCCACCAAUUACCAGAAUCUGUGCCUGCCAUACAUCGAAGGCUCUGACUUCUUUAUUCCACAUGACUCUGCAAAUCUACGUCUGAACUUAUAUUCUCCUGAAACCAGAACGGAUGAAACUCAUUAGGUGCUCCAGCCUGGGGGAUUAAUGUUUACCUUGAUUUAAUGUCUCAUCAGAAGCAUGACAUCCACAGCACUCUGGCUGCAGCAGGAUUAAAUGAAGCAUGGCCGUUUCUUCAAGAGAGACUUAAACUUCAAGCCUUUAGCCCUAGAGGGAAUGGGCAGGAGAUGAAGAGAGAGUAAAAAUCUAUUGAACUACCAAU
rnacentral:lncRNA from 1 species